rnacentral:rRNA from 1 species
CAGCAGCCGCGGGAAAACGGAGGGUGCAAGCGUUAAUCGGAAUUACUGGGCGUAAAGCGCACGCAGGCGGUUUGUUAAGUCAGAUGUGAAAUCCCCGAGCUUAACUUGGGAACUGCAUUUGAAACUGGCAAGCUAGAGUCUUGUAGAGGGGGGUAGAAUUCCAGGUGUAGCGGUGAAAUGCGUAGAGAUCUGGAGGAAUACCGGUGGCGAGGGCGGCCCCCUGGACAAAGACUGACGCUCAGGUGCGAAAGCGUGGGGAGCAAACAGGAUUAGAUACCCGCGUAGUCCCUGUCUCUUAUAC